CGACCAGAACGGCCCUGCUUUUGUGGGGUGCUCGAGUGGCGAACGGGUGAGUAACACGUGAGUAACCUGCCCUUGACUUUGGGAUAACUUCAGGAAACUGGGGCUAAUACCGGAUAGGAGCUCCUGCUGCAUGGUGGGGGUUGGAAAGUUUCGGCGGUUGGGGAUGGACUCGCGGCUUAUCAGCUUGUUGGUGGGGUAGUGGCUUACCAAGGCUUUGACGGGUAGCCGGCCUGAGAGGGUGACCGGCCACAUUGGGACUGAAAUACGGCCCAGACUCCUACGGGAGGCAGCAGUGGGGAAUAUUGCACAAUGGGCGGAAGCCUGAUGCAGCAACGCCGCGUGCGGGAUGACGGCCUUCGGGUUGUAAACCGCUUUCGCCUGUGACGAAGCGUGAGUGACGGUAAUGGGUAAAGAAGCACCGGUUAACUACGUGCCAGCAGCCGCGGUGAUACGUAGGGUGCGAGCGUUGUCCGGAUUUAUUGGGCGUAAAGGGCUCGUAGGUGGUUGAUCGCGUCGGAAGUGUAAUCUUGGGGCUUAACCCUGAGCGUGCUUUCGAUACGGGUUGACUUGAGGAAGGUAGGGGAGAAUGGAAUUCCUGGUGGAGCGGUGGAAUGCGCAGAUAUCAGGAGGAACACCAGUGGCGAAGGCGGUUCUCUGGGCCUUUCCUGACGCUGAGGAGCGAAAGCGUGGGGAGCGAACAGGCUUAGAUACCCUGGUAGUCCACGCUGUAAACGGUGGGUACUAGGUGUGGGGUCCAUACCAGGGUUCCGUGCCGUAGCUAACGCUUUAACACCCCGCCUGGGGAGUACGGCCGCAAGGCUAAAACUCAAAGGAAUUGACGGGGGCCCCGCACAAGCGGCGGAGCAUGCGGAUUAAUUCGAUGCAACGCGAAGAACCUUACCUGGGUUUGACAUGGAUCGGGGGUGCUCAGAGAUGGGUGUGCCUCUUUUGGGGUCGGUUCACAGGUGGUGCAUGGCUGUCGUCAGCUCGUGUCGUGAGAUGUUGGGUUAAGUCCCGCAACGAGCGCAACCCUUGUUCACUGUUGCCAGCACGUUAUGGUGGGGACUCAGUGGAGACCGCCGGGGUCAACUCGGAGGAAGGUGGGGAUGA
rnacentral:rRNA from 1 species